UACGAAGGGGGGCUAGCGUUGCUCGGAAUCACUGGGCGUAAAGGGUGCGUAGGCGGGUCUUUAAGUCAGGGGUGAAAUCCUGGAGCUCAACUCCAGAACUGCCUUUGAUACUGUCGGUCUAGAGUAUGGAAGAGGUGAGUGGAAUUCCGAGUGUAGAGGUGAAAUUCGUAGAUAUUCGGAGGAACACCAGUGGCGAAGGCGGCCUCACUGGUCCAUUACUGACGCUGAGGUGCGAAAGCGUGGGGAGCAAACAGG
rnacentral:rRNA from 1 species